rnacentral:rRNA from 1 species
CUGAAGAGUUUGAUCCUGGCUCAGAUUGAACGCUGGCGGCAUGCCUUACACAUGCAAGUCGAACGGUAACGCGGGGCAACCUGGCGACGAGUGGCGAACGGGUGAGUAAUAUAUCGGAACGUGCCCAGUUGUGGGGGAUAACUGCUCGAAAGAGCAGCUAAUACCGCAUACGACCUGAGGGUGAAAGCGGGGGAUCGCAAGACCUCGCGCAGUUGGAGCGGCCGAUAUCAGAUUAGGUAGUUGGUGGGGUAAAGGCUCACCAAGGCGAC